CAAUAUAUAAUUUGGAUGGGAUACGUUGUGGGGUUAAAUUCCCCUAUCUUGA
rnacentral:tRNA from 1 species